ensembl:lncRNA
AUUCCUGCAAGCACAUGUCUCAGGCGGGAGCUGGGCCACCACCAGCAUCCUGGAAGUUGUGCGCUGCCAGGAGCCCUUCUCAUCCUCCCAGGCAAGGUGAGGUCUAAGAAAGCUGAGGAAUGCGGCUGCAUCAUCUUCAACAAAUUCUUUGCUGGUGAUUUACAUCUGAGACAGAAGAGAAAUUUCAAUUGACACAGGAAAUACAUCUUGUGGAGACCAAACCGGCGAAAGCAAAACUCAGCCCAUUCCAUUUUAUCAAUUUCUUCGCUGGGGUUUCCAACUCAGACAGCAGCAGCCUCGGUUUUGGCUUCAUGUUCACAUCUCUCAAGG